rnacentral:snRNA from 1 species
AGCUUUGUGCAGUGGCAGUAUCGUAGCCAAUGAGGUUUAUCCGAGGCGCAAUUAUUGCUAAUUGAAAAAAUGAAUGUAGAGAAGUUUGGAGAGUCCCAAGGAAC